ACUAUUUUGGCAGAUUAGUGCAAUAAAUUUAGAAUUUAUAUAUGUAAAUUUUUUACAAAUAGUA
rnacentral:tRNA from 2 species